CUUGUCAGGGAUCGCCCUCCACCAGCGUGUUACGCCCGUGGGGGCAAAGCCG
rnacentral:sRNA from 1 species